rnacentral:rRNA from 1 species
UGGGGAAUAUUGGGCAAUGGGCGAAAGCCUGACCCAGCAACGCCGCGUGAAGUAUGAAGGCCUUCGGGUUGUAAACUUCUUUGAUCAGGGAAGAAACAAAUGACGGUACCUGAAAAACAAGCCACGGCUAACUACGUGCCAGCAGCCGCGGUAAUACGUAGGUGGCGAGCGUUAUCCGGAUUUACUGGGUGUAAAGGGCGUGCAGGCGGGCUGAUAAGUCAGAUGUGAAAUCCCCGAGCUUAACUCGGGAACUGCAUCUGAUACUGUUGGUCUUGAGUGCUGGAGAGGAUAGUGGAAUUCCUAGUGUAGCGGUAAAAUGCGCAGAUAUUAGGAGGAACACCAGUGGCGAAAGCGGCUUUUUGGCCUGCAACUGACACUGAGGCGCGAAAGCGUGGGGAGCAAACAGG